rnacentral:rRNA from 1 species
CUAGAGAUAGAAAGUUACUUCGGUUACAUCGGUGACAGGUGGUGCAUGGUUGUCGUCAGCUCGUGUCGUGAGAUGUUGGGUUAAGUCCCGCAACGAGCGCAACCCCUAUUGUUAGUUGCCAUCAUUCAGUUGGGCACUCUAGCGAGACUGCCGGUAAUAAACCGGAGGAAGGUGGGGAUGACGUCAAAUCAUCAUGCCCCUUAUGACCUGGGCUACACACGUGCUACAAUGGUUGGUACAACGAGUUGCGAGUCGGUGACGGCGAGCUAAUCUCUUAAAGCCAAUCUCAGUUCGGAUUGUAGGCUGCAACUCGCCUACAUGAAGUCGGAAUCGCUAGUAAUCGCGGAUCAGCACGCCGCGGUGAAUACGUUCCCGGGCCUU